CGGAGGAUCCAAGCGUUAUCCGGAUUUAUUGGGUUUAAAGGGUGCGUAGGCGGCUUAUUAAGUCAGGGGUGAAAGACGGUGGCUCAACCAUCGCAGUGCCUUUGAUACUGAUGAGCUUGAAUACACUUGAGGUAGGCGGAAUGUGACAAGUAGCGGUGAAAUGCAUAGAUAUGUCACAGAACACCAAUUGCGAAGGCAGCUUACUAAGGUGCAAUUGACGCUGAGGCACGAAAGCGUGGGAUCAAACAGGAUU
rnacentral:rRNA from 1 species